rnacentral:lncRNA from 11 species
GGUUAAGCAUUCUCUAUCAGUUACAAUUAAGGACAGGUGGGAUUCAAGAGUGGAUAUGUGGUUGUUUCUUUGAGAAGAGGGCCAGCAGGUGGGAUCACUUGAGAGAUCUGCAAAAAUAGCUGAAGUUUGGAAUUGCCAGUAACAAUGUUGGUAUUGAGCUGCAGCCUGAAGUAUUGUGCCUUAAACCCUUGAAAGACAGACUGUACUCUGGAUAUUCGAUUGAUUCUGAAAACUGUAUUGGUGAGAUAUCCUGGCUUUGGAAUAUUGGAAUGGACUUACGGCUUACCAUCUUGCCUUCUGCUUGCUUGGCUGAUUGAUUAAUGUGUUGACUUCAGACUGCUCCUGGACUACGUACUCAGCUGAUUUCCAGAGACCCUCUGGGCAGGACUUUGUUUUGAGUAGACCAGUAUGGGAUUGUGCUAUAAAAUGGCCAAGAUAUUAUCUCCUUUGGACACCACCAACUACUGGCUGGAACUGUGUGAAUAUGAUACCUUCUCAUUAACAGUGACUGGAGUGUUUCCUGCUACCUGUGAGACAGAAAAGACUCAAAAGAAAUGGACUCAGUCUUGUAAUACUGGACCCAGAUUGAUCAAUCAAGAGGUUCUAUGGAGUAGCUUCAACUGUUGGAGAGGGGAAUGGACACAGGAGCUCACAAAUUAGAGUUUCAUCCACACAAUGCUGAACCAUGGAGACAACAGUCAAGAAAUCAGAAUAAGACUAGGACUUGGAAGGAUAGCUAUGAAGAAACUAGACAUUACUUUGAAGUACAAAGGCAUAUAAUUCAAUUUUAAAGUUACGAUUGUCUAGGCUAUUGUAGUUUCUAUUUAUAUGUAAGGUUCUGAAAGCUGUGCAGCAGAUAGAAGAAAAUCACAUCAUUUGAUAUGUGGUGCUACAGAAUAGUUCCACAGACACUGGACUGGUAAAAAGACAAAUGAAUAUGUCCUAAAGCAAAUCAAGCCUGAACUCUCCCUAAAAACCUAGAUGACUAAACUGAAACUGUCCCACUUGACCAUAUCAUAAGAAGACAUAGGUCACUAGAAAACACAAAUAAUGUUUGUUGAGAUAGAAAGUAGGAGGAAAAGAGGUAGACCACAUAUCAGAUGGAUAGACUAAAUUUAGGAAGCCAUUGCCCUGAAUCUGUGAAUCCUGAGCAAUGCUGUUAAUGUUAUGAUAACUUGGAAUCUCUUAUUCAUGGGGCCACCAUAAAUCAAUGCUUAUCUAAUGACAAUUAACAACAAUAAAGUUUGGUAUUUGAACCCAACAUUGCCACAGAAU